UACAGAGGGGGCAAGCGUUGUUCGGAAUUACUGGGCGUAAAGGGCGCGUAGGCGGCCUGUUAAGUCGAACGUGAAAUCCCUAGGCUCAACCUAGGAACUGCGUCCGAUACUGGCAGGCUUGAAUCCGGGAGAGGGAUGCGGAAUUCCAGGUGUAGCGGUGAAAUGCGUAGAUAUCUGGAGGAACACCGGUGGCGAAGGCGGCAUCCUGGACCGGCAUUGACGCUGAAGCGCGAAAGCCAGGGGAGCAAACGGG
rnacentral:rRNA from 1 species